CUCCCCCUCCCCAGAGAAAAGGGGUCUCGGGGUCCCAACGCCCUUCUACCUCCUUCCUCCUCCUCGAGGCCCACACGCUUUCUUCUUCCUGCUCUGAAAGAGCUCCGCCCAGGCUCCGGAAAUGGCAUCAGAGACAUCCCUAACACCCUCCCUUCCCCUCCUCUUGUUAGCAUUAGUCCUGCCUCUCUAGGAAGAAGCAGAGCUCGCUGGUCCUUGGAGGACCCAGGGGACGGAAAGUGCUCCCUUCCUUCUUCCUGCAAAGCCUUGAAAGACAAGGAUCCCGGGGAAGAAAAAACCCGUUUAGGAACUGGAAAAAAGGUACCAGGGGUAGGGGCAAAGAUGUACAAAUACUCCUCUUAAUCCAGUCAAAAGCAGGAGGCCCCUUUCCGUGGAGAGGAUGAGGAAGGACACCACCGAAGUUGGAUCUCCAAACGGCAAAAAAGCUAUUUAUUGCGAGCUUAGCAAUAACGACAAAAACAUGCAUACGUCAAUGCAAUAAAAGGAUUUGUCGUAACCUGGAAAA